GGGGUAUUCAUUAAGAGUGAGUUACAAUAAAAUCUGGUUAAAAUGUGACAUUUGGUCUUUUAUCAUGUCCUUCACUGACAGUUACUCAAUUACCCUCAAUUUGUGUCAUGUCCUGUAUGUCAUGUGUAGAAUUGUAGUGAAUGUUCUGCAAAGGUUAUAAAACAAAUCACUACAAUCACUCUAACCAACUGUAUGGCAAAAUGGAAUAAACAAAUGACAAAUUAUGUUCUCUUUGUGUAAGUAUAUAAAUGUGGAUAAUUGCAGAAAACAUGUUGUAAAACUAGAUGUUGUGCAACCAUGAAAAGAGGGUUUCAGUGGUCUCAGCGACACACAUAAUACAUCAUAUUGGUUUAAACUCACACUUGUAUUCUGUGAGUGUUGCUCAGUAAGAUACCCCAUAUCAGGGGUGCACUGUCUAUAGUUUAGUCUUUACAGCCCCAAUACUGUAUGUUCAGUAAUUAUAUUUUACAUUAUUUACUAACAUUGCUGAAUAUUAUCUAUUCAAAGUGUGUUCUGUUUCAAAUGUUAAUCUUUAUUCCAUUUUCAUUACAUUAAAUGUUGGACUUUUAUAUUUAAGACUUAACUAGGAGACACUAGGAAUCCACUUUUUUGGUUUACUCCUAUUGCAGGUAACUUCUAUAACUGAACCUCUUAGAUUUCACAUCUACCACAAUGUCUGUAUAAAAUAUGCAUGAAGCAAACACUAGAGUAAACAUUUCUAUGUAGAAACUUUGACCAUAUAAUGAAUAGAAAAAUAUUUUUUGGGGGAAAAACAACAAUCCCAAAAUUCCAAUCUGAAUAUAGGUGCUAGAUAGAGCAUUUAUCUAUAGACCAUCUACAAAUGUACUAAAGACUUCCAGGUUGUGAAUCCCUUGUGGUGUCUGUGGUUGUCUAUGCAAAUUGAGCUGCUCAUCUACUCCAGGCUCCAUAAUCAAAGUUACAUUUCAUGUGCACUCUGAGCUAGUCCUCAUUGUCCCAAAUCCACACCCUGAUGCCACUAAUUUGCACAUACAUUUUAUACAGUACUGAAAAUAUUUUGGGUGUUUUAUUCUGUUGAGGUGGGGGGGCGACACCCUAAACCAGGGCCGCCUUAAUGCACGGGCUUACCGGGGCUUAAGCCCAGGGGCCUAUGAAGACGAGGGGCCUAUCAUGAGCCAAUAAAAAAUCACAUAGUUUUGUAAUUUGUCAAAUUUUCUGUCGAUCACUCGAUAUUCAUGAUUCUGGCUGCAGAUAUAUCACAUUUUCACAUGACCACCGACGCUACGUUACCAUACAUUAGCAUUAGGCCGUUGUCAUGGUACCGUAUAAUGCUAGUGAGAAGCUUGUGGCUAGCUAGGUCAAAAUUCCAGAAAGGAAAAAGUUUGAGAGCAGUGCUCAAAAACAAAAAAUAUUACGGCAAAAAGAAAACAGUGAGAAAGAAUUGUUAAAACACAUUCCAAACCUAACAGGUUUUUUUAAACCUGCUAAAAAUUAAGAGCAGGUGAACUCGUUAAAGAGGGGAGCGCUGAAAAUUAGUGGAGAGGACAACGAGCAGACAGGAGGACCGGUAAUUUUACUGGGAGAAGCUGAAGAGGAUGAGGACUGGCUGAGCAGGAGAAGAGGAAUCGGUGGCGCGGGUAGAUCCAGGCGAAGGGGAUCACAGUGGAGGAGACAUGCGGGCAGGAUCAGGACGGGACGAGUCGGAUGAUGUCGACCUGUAUAACACUGACCCGGGUCUCUGGGGCCAAAAUAAUACUGACGAACAGGUGUGUUUUUACUGGGGGAAAAUGGGACCGGAAUUGUGCCAGAACAGACAAGCUGACCUCUCUGCUUCAGAACACCAAAACAAACACCAGAGAAGAUUCUUCUCAAAGACACAUUCCAAGCGCAAGCUUGGUAAUGGAGAGUAUCUGCCCAGGGAGUGGCUAUGCUGCUCACCUUCCCAAGGUAGAGUGUUUUGCUUAUUAUUUGUUCAUAAUAAUUCUGUACUGUUGUGCUUUGUUGUUUCAGAACCACAUACACAUAGAUAAACAGACUAAACCAUAGACCUGGACUCUAUCUCCUUAUUGCCACACUUCUACCUGAAUAUAUUGUCCAACCCCACACAUAUAUUCUACACUGACUAGGUAGGCUCAAGUGAUUUGGUCAUCUCAUAUAGGGACAAGUCACCGUUGUAUCCCCCUAAAAAAACUAAUACCAUUUUGCGCUGUAUUGACAAGCGUGGAUUUUACACAUUUUAUUAUUUAUAGUGUGAGUUGGGGGGGCUUACAAAAACUUCUUAGCCCCGGGGCCUAAUGACAGGUUAAGGCGGGCCUGCCCUAAACACACACACACACAUUACGAGUUACUUGUCAUAACAAGAAUUCACAGAACUCUUUUUACUCAGCUUGGUAACAUUUAUUUGCCAAAAACAAGAAUGGAAAAGCAGCUAGAUCCCUCAGUGCAACGCGGACGUCAAUUACUGUUGUCGUCGCUGUUGGGAGCCCUGGGGUGGAUGCUGAGCAGGGCCCGGUUUCCCGUUAGCAUAGCACUUACGAUGGUUUAAUGAUGCACAUAGCUUUAAGUGGGACUUUGUUACGACAGACUUACGCCUGUUUCCCAAACCACCGUUUAAGUCACUCUUUAUAUAGUGCAUCGUGCACUAUAUAUUACGUUUGGAAUGGAAUUAGACCAUCUUUGGGGCUUGAAAUGGAAUUAUGCCAUGAAUACGUUUUGAAAUAUAGCCUAUUGCAUUUCGAUAGAGCUUGCUCACUUAUCAGAAUCAUUUUAUAUAGCUGCUGAUGUAUUCAACUACUACAAGACAUUUUUAAACUCGAAGCAGUAGAGAAAUUUAUGGUGGACGAAACUGUGAUUUGCAACCAAUGGGGGUUGACGUCAGCCAAUCAAAAUCAUAUCUCCGGAAAUUGAUCACGUGACAUCCAAUUAUCAAUUCCUCCAGUAGCUAUAAAGAAUAUAAGUCACACACCAAUCAACACAUGAUUGGUUAACUGGGAAUAUAAAGCAUAGUGAGAAAAAUCUAUUCUAAUUGUUUGGAAUACAAAUGAAACGCAAGAGAAAACAUGUUUGCAUUCUGGUAGUGUUCUUCUUGAUGUGGUUGAGACACCAGCACCUAUCCAUCAAAUAAUAGUAGUAGUACCAUGCAGGCUUUCAGACUCGUGAACGGUUAAUUUUGAACACUUUUUCUUAAUUAGCCUAUUUCUUGUUUUACGUACGUUUCUCUUUAUCCUCAGCUGACCAAUUGCAUUCAGUUACAUUUACACCCAGUCACGUACUUAUCUAAUUUGUCUAAAUGAAUGUGUCUAAAUCAAAACUGUUUUGAUAUGUUUCAUUCGUUCUAUUGCCUUGAUAUUAACUGUUUGCGAGCAUUCCUCUCAUGUUGAGGGAGGCACAGUUUCACAAAAACAGUAAAGUGCCUGUUAAGAUCGUCCAAGAUGGACUAACUUAAUUAGGGAGCGAAGUUACGUGACACUUAGGUAACGAUGCUUUUGGGAAACACACUGAUAAAAUAACGAGGCACUAACAUGCAUCUUAGUGCUUUAGAAAACCGGGCCUAGGGCAGAGAGGAUCUGAGUGAUGCUGAGCUGGAUGGAAGCUGGGCUGGACCUCAUUGGAGCAUCCUGAAUGACCUGGGGAAGAGCAUCUGGCUCUAGUGGGCACAGCUGACAGGAGAGAAACCCCAUCCAUUAGCCAGCUGACUUUUAACUAACUUUAGAUCUUAAUAAUAAUGGAGUUGGUGACUACGACAUGAUCAUCCAACGAAUUAUGACAUGUCAAAUUAGAAUAUGUCGAUGUGUUGUAUGUGUUGAUUUUCUUGAAUUAAGGAGCCCAAUAAGUGGUAAACUGCUCAUUUUUAUCACUGCUGUGCUGAUCAGACUUUUAUCACGGGUGUCUAAUCAGCACAGUGAUGAUUUACCACGACCUCCAGAGUAUCAUUUUGACGUCUACAUCACCCUAAGGAAUCUAGCCUUUACUGCAAGAACGGUUACAUUGGUUAUUUAUACCAUACACAUAGAGUGUAUCUGGAAGCACUAAGAACAAUGUGUAAUUAAUUCAUGUCUAAGAUACUGUAGUUCCACCCCAUCCACAUCCAGUGUGGGAAAUCAUCCUCCCAGCAGGGAUGAUAAGAGGUUUUCGGUGGAGCUAAAAGACUGAGAGAAAGAGAAAUAAAGAGUCAUUAGGCAGUUCCGAAAUCAAUAUAUAAACCAUUCAAAAAGCAGUCAGACCUUUUCACUUCCACAAUUUGUUAUGGUAUGGCUUUGUUGUAAAGUGGAAUAAAUAUAUUUUUUCCUCAUUAAUCAACUCACAAUACCCCAUAAAGACAAUGCAAAAACC
ensembl:lncRNA